UACGUAGGGUGCAAGCGUUAAUCGGAAUUACUGGGCGUAAAGCGUGCGCAGGCGGUUUGUUAAGACAGAUGUGAAAUCCCCGGGCUUAACCUGGGAACUGCAUUUGUGACUGGCAAGCUAGAGUAUGGCAGAGGGGGGUGGAAUUCCACGUGUAGCAGUGAAAUGCGUAGAGAUGUGGAGGAACACCGAUGGCGAAGGCAGCCCCCUGGGCCAAUACUGACGCUCAUGCACGAAAGCGUGGGGAGCAAACAGG
rnacentral:rRNA from 1 species